AGAGUUUGAUCCUGGCUCAGGACGAACGCUGGCGGCGUGCUUAAUACAUGCAAGUCGAACGGGGUUUAGCCCGAGCGCGGCUUCGGCCAAGCGACGGCUAAACCUAGUGGCGAACGGGUGAGUAACGCGUGGGCAAUCUGCCCUCUUGACCGGGACAACAGUUCGAAAGGGCUGCUAAUACCGGAUACGAACAUAUGCUUGAUGGUAUAUGUUGAAAGGAUGCUUUGGCAUCGCAGGAGGAUGAGCCCGCGUCCCAUUAGCUAGUUGGUGGGGUAGCGGCCUACCAAGGCGACGAUGGGUAGCCGGCCUGAGAGGGUGGACGGCCACACUGGGACUGAGACACGGCCCAGACUCCUACGGGAGGCAGCAGUAGGGAAUUUUCCGCAAUGGGCGCAAGCCUGACGGAGCGACGCCGCGUGAGUGAAGAAGGCCUUCGGGUUGUAAAGCUCUGUCUUCAGGGACGAAAGCUUUUCAGAGGCAAUGCUGGGAAGAUGACGGUACCUGAGGAGGAAGCCCCGGCUAACUACGUGCCAGCAGCCGCGGUAAU
rnacentral:rRNA from 1 species